AACAGGAUUAGAUACCCUGGUAGUCACGCUGUAAACGAUGUCGACUUGGAGGUUGUGCCCUUGAGGCGUGGCUUCCGGAGCUAACGCGUUAAGUCGCCCGCCUGGGGAGUACGGCCGCAAGGUUAAAACUCAAAUGAAUUGACGGGGGCCCGCACAAGCGGUGGAGCAUGUGGUUUAAUUUGAUGCAACGCGAAGAACCUUACCUACUCCUGACAUCCAGAGAAUUUGCUAGAGAUAGCUUAGUGCCUUUGGGAACUUUGAGACAGGUGCUGCAUGGCUGUUGUCAGCUCGUGUUGUGAAAUGUUGGGUUAAGUCCCGCAACGAGCGCAACCCUUAUCCUUUGUUGCCAGCACGUAAUGGUGGGAACUCAAAGGAGACUGCCGGUGAUAAACCGGAGGAAGGUGGGGAUGACGUCAAGUCAUCAUGGCCCUUACGAGUAGGGCUACACACGUGCUACAAUGGCAUAUACAAAGAGAAGCGAACUCGCGAGAGCAAGCGGACCUCAUAAAGUAUGUCGUAGUCCGGAUUGGAGUCUGCAACUCGACUCCAUGAAGUCGGAAUCGCUAGUAAUCGUAGAUCAGAAUGCUACGGUGAAUACGUUCCCGGGCCUUGUACACACCGCCCGUCACACCAUGGGAGUGGGUUGCAAAAGAAGUAGGUAGCUUAACCUUCGGGAGGGCGCUUACCACUUUGUGAUUCAUGACUGGGGUGAAGUCGUAACAAGGUAACC
rnacentral:rRNA from 1 species